GUGCUGUGCAUUGCGCAUGGGCGAGCCUGAUCCAGCCAUGCCGCGUGUGUGAAGAAGGCCCUCGGGUUGUAAAGCACUUUCAGCGAGGAAGAACGCCUAGUGGUUAAUACCCACUAGGAAAGACAUCACUCGCAGAAGAAGCACCGGCUAACUCCGUGCCAGCAGCCGCGGUAAUACGGAGGGUGCAAGCGUUAAUCGGAAUUACUGGGCGUAAAGCGCGCGUAGGUGGCUUGAUAAGCCGGUUGUGAAAGCCCCGGGCUCAACCUGGGAACGGCAUCCGGAACUGUCAAGCUAGAGUGCAGGAGAGGAAGGUAGAAUUCCCGGUGUAGCGGUGAAAUGCGUAGAGAUCGGGAGGAAUACCAGUGGCGAAGGCGGCCUUCUGGACUGACACUGACACUGAGGUGCGAAAGCGUGGGUAGCAAACAGGAUUAGAUACCCUGGUAGUCCACGCCGUAAACGAUGUCGACCAGCCGUUGGGUGCCUAGCGCACUUUGUGGCGAAGUUAACGCGAUAAGUCGACCGCCUGGGGAGUACGGCCGCAAGGUUAAAACUCAAAUGAAUUGACGGGGGCCCGCACAAGCGGUGGAGCAUGUGGUUUAAUUCGAUGCAACGCGAAGAACCUUACCUACUCUUGACAUCCUGCGAACUUGUGAGAGAUCACUUGGUGCCUUCGGGAACGCAGAGACAGGUGCUGCAUGGCUGUCGUCAGCUCGUGUUGUGAAAUGUUGGGUUAAGUCCCGUAACGAGCGCAACCCUUGUCCUUAUUUGCCAGCGCGUAAUGGCGGGAACUCUAAGGAGACUGCCGGUGACAAACCGGAGGAAGGUGGGGACGACGUCAAGUCAUCAUGGCCCUUACGAGUAGGGCUACACACGUGCUACAAUGGCCGGUACAAAGGGUUGCGAGCUCGCGAGAGUCAGCUAAUCCCGAAAAGCCGGUCUCAGUCCGGAUCGGAGUUUGCAA
rnacentral:rRNA from 1 species